UACGUAGGGGGCAAGCGUUGUCCGGAAUUAUUGGGCGUAAAGCGCGCGCAGGCGGUUCUUUAAGUCUUGUGUUUAAUCCCGGGGCUCAACCUCGGUUCGCAUGGGAAACUGGGGAACUGGAGUGCAGGAGAGGAAAGUGGAAUUCCACGUGUAGCGGUGAAAUGCGUAGAGAUGUGGAGGAACACCAGUGGCGAAGGCGACUUUCUGGCCUGUAACUGACGCUGAGGCGCGAAAGCGUGGGGAGCAAACAGG
rnacentral:rRNA from 1 species